AGAGUUUGAUCAUGGCUCAGGAUGAACGCUGGCGGCGUGCUUAACACAUGCAAGUCGAACGAAGCAUGUAAAACAAUCCUUCGGGUGCGUUUUAUAUGACUGAGUGGCGGACGGGUGAGUAACGCGUGGGGAACCUGCCGUAUGCAGGGGGACAACAGUCAGAAAUGACUGCUAAUACCGCAUAAGCACACAAUGCUGCAUGGCAUGGUGUGAAAAGAUUUAUCGGCAUACGAUGGCCCCGCGUCUGAUUAGCCAGUUGGCAGGGUAACGGCCUACCAAAGCAACGAUCAGUAGCCGGCUUGAGAGAGUGACCGGCCACAUUGGGACUGAGACACGGCCCAGACUCCUACGGGAGGCAGCAGUGGGGAAUAUUGCACAAUGGGGGAAACCCUGAUGCAGCGACGCCGCGUGAGUGAUGAAGUAUUUCGGUAUGUAAAGCUCUAUCAGCAGGGAAGAUAAUGACGGUACCUGACUAAGAAGCUCCGGCUAAAUACGUGCCAGCAGCCGCGGUAAUACGUAUGGAGCAAGCGUUAUCCGGAUUUACUGGGUGUAAAGGGAGCGCAA
rnacentral:rRNA from 1 species